AAUUUUCAAAAUUUCCCUGCUCGGCGCCAACCAUGGUAGCGCCUCGCGAUCGUGGGAGUUGGGCCCACUAAGUUUAACAAGCUUUCUACCCCCUGAGUGACCCAGUUGUGGUAUUUACAUAAACAUACCAUGCAAGUACACUUAACUGAUCAGAUUCGGUCUAUCAACGCACAAUGUAACGCUGCAUAUCCAAAAAUCUGUUUCAGAAAAUGCUCAGAGGAAAAUGCUCACAUUUCAAUUCUAGGGGUGGAAAAAUAAAAAAAAUUUUCUGGGGGAGAAUACCCCCAGACCCCCCUACUAGUACAUACGAUACCACACCAAACUUUUUGUCACCAACAACCAUCUGUCAUCUCUCCACACUCAAUAUAGUAUGGUCCCUUUUUGUAGAUGCCCACCCCCAGACAAGUUCUUAAAAAACCCUGUGUUCAAAUCAUUUCGCUGUAUGAAGACGGGUCAUGGGUUAGGGUUAUGGUAGGACAAAUGUUGCAUUGCAAAGUAGUAACACAUAAUAUAUAUUUUUUAAUCAUAUAUGGUUGAAUCAUAUUCACCAGGGUAAAACAUCAUGAGCUAGAUUAAACAGAUGUCCUAAUAUCUAACUUUACCUGCAACGCACACCUGUUUCGUUGCUGUUAAUUUUUCAAUCGACACGGGGGGGGUCAGAAAAGUUUCUACUUUUAUGAG